ensembl:lncRNA novel transcript
AGAGGCUGGCGGGAUCCUCCAUAUGCUGAACGCUGGUUCCCUAGGUCCCCUUAUUUCUUUCUCUAUACUUUGCCUCUGUGUCUUUUUCUUUCCUAAGUCUCUCAUUCCACCUUUACGAGAAACACCCACAGGUGUGGAGGGGCAACCCACCCCUACAUCUGGUGCCCAACGUGGAGGCUUUUCUCUAGGGUGAAGGUACGCUCGAGCAUGGUCAUUGAGGACAAGUCGACGAGAGAUCCCGAGUACGUCUACAGUCAGCCUUUCGACAUUUGAAGUUCUACAAUGAACCCAUCGGAGAUGCAAAGAAAAGCACCUCCGCGGAGACGGAGACACUGCAAUCGAGCACCGUUGACUCACAAGAUGAACAAAAUGGUGACGUCAGAAGAAGAGAUGAAGUUGCCAUCCACCAAGAAGGCAGAGCCGCUGACUUGGGCACAACUAAAGAAGCUGACGCAGUUAGCUACAAAAUGUCUAGAGAACACAAAGUCUGCAGGUGUAACCAACAGCUCCAAAGAGACAGCGACCAUCGAGAACGGGCCAUGAUUACGAUGGUGGUUUUGUCGAAAAGAAAAGGGGGAAAUGUGGGGAAAAGCAAGAGCGAUCAGAUUGUUGCUGUGUCUGUGUAGAAAGAAGUAGACAUAGGAGACUCCAUUUUGUUAUGUACUAAGAAAAAUUCUUCUGCCUUGAGAUUCUGUGACCUUACCCCCAACCCCAUGCUCUCUGAAACAUGUGCUGUGUCAACUCAGAGAUGAAUGGAUUAAGGGCGGUGCAAGAUGUGCUUUGUUAAACAGAUGCUUGAAGGCAGCAUGCUCCUUAAGAGUCAUCACCACUCCCUCAUCUCAAGUACCCAGGGACACAAAAACUGCGGAAGGCUGCAGGGACCUCUGCCUAGGAAAGCCAGGUAUUGUCCAAGGUUUCUCCCCAUGUGAUAGUCUGAAAUAUGGCCUCGUGGGAAGGGAAAGACCUGACCGUCCCCCAGCCCGACACCCGUAAAGGGUCUGUGCUGAGGAGGAUUAGUAUAAGAGGAAGGCAUGCCUCUUGCAGUUGAGACAAGAGGAAGGCAUCUGUCUCCUGCCUGUCCCUGGGCAAUGGAAUGUCUCGUUAUAAAACCCGAUUGUAUGCUCCAUCUACUGAGAUAGGGAAAAACCGCCUUAGGGCUGGAGGUGGGACCUGCGGGCAGCAAUACUGCUUUGUAAAGCAUUGAGAUGUUUAUGUGUAUGCAUAUCUAAAAGCACAGCACUUAAUCCUUUACAUUGUCUAUGAUGCAAAGACCUUUGUUCACGUGUUUGUCUGCUGACCCUCUCCCCACAAUUGUCUUGUGACCCUGACACAUCCCCCUCUUUGAGAAACACCCACGAAUGAUCAAUAAAUACUAAGGGAACUCAGAGGCUGGCGGGAUCCUCCAUAUGCUGAACGCUGGUUCCCCGGAUCCCCUUAUUUCUUUCUCUAUA